rnacentral:rRNA from 1 species
GCACAGAAGUUAGCCGUCCCUUCCUCUUCAAGUACUAUCAGUCUCCCGCUAGUUAUACGGAAGGUUUGUUCCUUAAUGACGGAAGUUUACAAUCCGAAGACCUUCAUCCUUCACGCGGCGUCGCUCCUUCAGGCUUUCGCCCAUUGAGAAAAAUUCUCGA